AAAUGCAACAACGUCACAUCUCAAAAAAUCGAAUUUUUGAGUUAUGUGGUUUAACAGAAAGUAAAUUGUAUAAAGUUUACUUUGUUAGAUCGAUAUAUCUGUAACUUAACAAUUAACUGAGAGAUGGCGCCAAACGAUUGUAGUAUUUCUGCGACGAGGUCUAAAUUUUUACCGCAAGAGUGUUUUAUUUCAGUUGUGGUUUGUCAGUUGAAGUGGCACGUGCUUACGCUUUUGUUUAAAAACGUGUUAUUGUGUUUUAUGAGGAUAUUUCACUAAAGGUAAGAUCUUUUAUUUGAUAAUAUUUUAUUUCAAUAACGCAUUAUUUAGAAUUAGUACUUUUUUCGCCAAAAAAUGAUAAACGUUUAGGUUUUAAUAAUUAAAAAUAUGACGCUAUUGUUCUGAAAAAAAUAUUUGUUUGGUGUAUUAUUUUUUCUUAAGACUUUAUUACAAAGAAUUUAAUAUUUUUUUUGCUGGAGGUGUCUGAGUUUUUGUAAACAAUAUGACUUUAUUGUUACAAAAUAUUAUUUAAAAAUUUAAAAGGAAUAAUAUUUAUUUAAGGUUAGGUCAAUCUUUAAACACAACUUUUUUCUCCAUUUGGGAUUGCAACCAAUUGAUUACAUUAAAUUUUACUAAUUUUUAAAUUUAAAACCAAAAAUAAUUGCAUAUUAUGUUUAUUUGUCUAAUACUUUUUAUUUGAUCUAAUUUAAAAAAUAUACUAUUUUAGGCUUUCAACGUAAUAAUGUCCUAGAUUUCGCUUAAAAAAGAUUCAGCAGCUUUUAAAGCAGCAGCAAUCUACCAAUGAGGAUGCAUCGACCGAACAGUAUAUGUCUGACUACACAGUUUCUGUUUUUGAAUGUGAAAAUGGUACCCCAAAGAAUAUGCUCGACAAUGAUGAACAACAAAACAAACAAGAAUAUGAAACAAACGUUUCAGAGAUGGACAAUGAGUUUUUUUUGUAAAAAAUCAAGAAUCUUCAAGUACACUAGGUGAUAAGAAUAUAGCUGUUCCUGGAGUUUCUAAGUCAACAAGUUCUUCAUCAUCUUCAAGCAGCUGUUGUAGUAGGUGUUCUAGUAGGUCUUCCAGUAGUAGUAGCUCUUCUUCGUCCUCUGAAGAUUGUGAAGACAUAAUUAACGAUCAUAACUAUGUACCAAAGAGUGAUGAAGAAUCAGAAGAGUGUGAUAAAGAAAACCACGACGACGGUAAUAAUGAUCCUAAUCAAACCUUAUCAGCAAACCAAGACAUUCCUAUUCUUGUUACACCCCCAAAGAAAGGCAAGAAACGUCAACGGAAUACUGAAAACUGGAAGAGAAAUCUUACAAAAAAAAUGAGAAAUUGUGGUGAAGCCUACCAAACUCAUUCAAAAAACAAAAAGAUGAGACAAAAAAGACAAGUAAGGUAUCCGUGCAAAGAUUGUAAACUCAAGUGUCCAUCUAAAUUUACCGAAGAGGAGGGAAUACAGAUUUUUUUAAGCUAUUGGUCACUCGGUGAAUUUCAAAAACAGAGAGAGUAUAUUAACAAACUGUUGGUACCAGUUGUACCCCAAUAUCGGUAUAUUCGUGUCGGAGGUACAAGAAAACCCAGAGACAAAAACAACGCAUACUAUUUUGUAAAAGAAGGUAAGUAGAUUCGAGUUUGCAAAGUAUUUUUUGCAAAUACUUUGGACAUACCUGAUCGCAUAAUAAGAACUGUGCAAGAAAAACGGAAUAAAGUUUUAGAGGUCCUCCUUGAUUCGGACAAAUGUGGAAGACACGGAAACCAGAAAUCGCUAAAUCCAGAAAUUCGGGAAGAUAUUAGACAGCACAUAACAUCAAUCCCAAGAAUUGAAAGUUAUUACUCGCUCCAAUACAUCCCGAAUAUUUAUUGAUGGUAGCCGCUCAUUGGCAGAUAUUCAUAGAGACUAUAUUAAAAUCUGUAAACAAAGAAAUAGACCUUUUGCAAGUUACGCAAUUUUCCAUGAAGUUUUUGUCAAAGAAUUUAAUAUUUCUUUCUUUACACCCAAGAAAGACCUUUGCGAAACAUGCGUAUUUUCAUUAAAAUAUCUAAGCCAAAAUAUUUUAUUAAUGUUUCUUGAACUGUAUUUUUAUUUGUAGUUUUCUUAUUUUGUAACUUCUUGUUUUUAACAAGUUGACAUAUUAAAAUUAUUUGCCAAAAA